UGCCCCAUGGCUGAGUUGGUUACAGCGUCCGACUGUUACGCACAGAUACUCAUAUGUACAACGUAUCAGUGUCUGUGCGGAGAUCGGAAGGUCGAGAGUUCGAGCCUCUCUGGGGCAG